AGAGAUUCAGAGACGUUCAAAAUAUAUGAAUCAAAUCGACAACACAGCAAGAAAAUUUUUCCAAAUUCAAUAUAUUUGGGAAAGGUGAGGAGCAAUAAUUAAAAUAUUAUCCACUGAUAUUCUUCUUAAUCAUGAAAGGUUAAAAUAUCAUUUCAAUUAAUACUUGAACUUUUUCACUUUCAAAAUAAGUUGUAUAUCUUCUUUUAACCCCAAAAAAAAUUCGUUCAAGAAGUGAAGCCCUUGACAUGGAUAUUCAUACGAGAUAUCAAAAAAAUUACCUUAAACUUCCUUGUGUAGCGCAAUGCUUCGAGGUAAUAUCCAUCUUGCACGAGCAGCGACACAUAAUCAUGAUGUAGAGAAAGCUGCCGGAGCAUAUCCAGUCCCAGUUUCCUUGUGGGGAAAUUAUGGCGACCAGACUCCAAUAAUUGCAAGGCAACCUCUUUUG
rnacentral:lncRNA from 1 species